CGGCAUCUGCAAGGCAAGUGAGCGAUAAUCCGAAUCCAUCUAAAUAAAGGUUGGCCUCGGCCGCCGCCGGAUGGUAUAAAGCGGUGUUCACAAUCCAGUAAGAGGACCAGCUGUUGUAGAGGAUCGAGCUGACCAGCUACUAAAACUUGGUCCCCGACGAGCUGUGCCGAUGAUGUGUUCAAGAUUUCGGUCCCACCUGUAACCCACCGCCAUGGCUGAGGAAGGCACCAAUGCUUCAGGUGUCACGGACGUCAACCCUGCUUUCUAAGAGGUGCUGAAGACCGCCCUCAUCCACGGGGCCUAGCACGUGGAAAAUGCGAAGCAGACAAGCGCCAGGCCCAUCUUUGUGGGCUUGCAUCCAAUCGUGAUGAGCCUCAACACCACACCGACCUCCUUAAGGUUCAUGACAAGAAACUAGGAGAAUGGGCAGUUUGAUAGAGAAGGAAAACUUGAUAGAGAAGGAAAAUUCUUGAAAGUGGUCGCUUGUAGUUGUGUGGUUGUUAAGGACCAUGGCAAAGAAUCUCAAGCCAAGGAUGUUAUUGAAGAAUACUUUAAAUGCAAAAAUGACUUUGCGAAUUGUUUUAAUAAAACAAAACCAAACUA